rnacentral:rRNA from 1 species
GGGGAAUAUUGGACAAUGGGCGAAAGCCUGAUCCAGCAAUACCGCGUGAAUGAUGAAGGCCUUAGGGUUGUAAAGUUCUUUUAGCAGGGAAGAUAAUGACGGUACCUGCAGAAAAAGCCCCGGCUAACUUCGUGCCAGCAGCCGCGGUAAGACGAAGGGGGCUAGCGUUGUUCGGAAUUACUGGGCGUAAAGAGCGCGUAGGCGGUUUGGUAAGUUGGAAGUGAAAGCCCGGGGCUUAACCUCGGAAUUGCUUUCAAAACUGCCAGGCUAGAGUGUAGUAGGGGAUGAUGGAGUUCCUAGUGUAGAGGUGAAAUUCUUAGAUAUUAGGAGGAACACCGGUGGCGAAGGCGGUCAUCUGGGCUACAACUGACGCUGAGGCGCGAAAGCGUGGGGAGCAAAC